AUGUAUAGAUAGGUAUAUAUUUUUUUAUUUAUUUUGCAUGCACCAAUUGGAGGAUCUGAUUCAUGUACAGCAAUUAAAUUUAUGGAAUGCAACUAUUUCAAUAUGUUAUUGCUCCGAUGAAGGCAUAACCUUUUACAAUGAUUAGAGCAUGUAUACAUUAAUAAACAAGAAAUAGUACAAUGGAAAGAGAUAACAAAAUGAGGUAUAUGAAAUAGCCAAAGAACAAUAACUAGCCUUAAAAUGUUGGGAACUCAAUGCUGGAGCCACAUUUUCCUCUAGGAAAAACAGGGCAUUCGAUGAGAUUUGAACCCGAGCCAUCGACACAAAUAUAAACCUGGUAUAACUGGCUAUUACCCGACUCGUCGAUAUUACAUUCUAUUCCAGGAGUGUAUCCAAUCGCGCUUCUAAUCGCAUUUUUAAUGUUGUUCAAGCUAUAAAAUCCGCCAUCAGGGUUAAUAUCAGCACCCUGAAGAAUUUCCAAAAGAUUAAUUUGAUUCUUGAGAUCAAGAGCCUUCUUGAAAUAGCCAUGUUGGUCAAAAAUAGAUUCAGAACAAGUGCCAUGUUUUUCCCAUUCAUGUGACCAAAAUGCUGAGCCAGUACCACUUGGGCAUGCUAGUGUUGGCCAAUUUUGUUGCAUUCUGCUGAUUAAGUCAGAAACCUGCACAGUAAAUUUAAUUGGACUCAGUAUUUUUAACACGAAUCAUAGAUAUAUAGUACAUUACAUUCGAUUCCAGGAGUAUAUCCAAUCGCACUUCUAAUCGCAUUUUUAACGCUGUUCAAGCUAUAAAAUCCGCCAUCAGGGUUAAUUCCAGCACCCUGAAGAAUUUCCAAAAGAUUAAUUUGAUUCUUGAGAUCAAGAGCUUUCAUGAAAUAGCCAUGUUGGUCAAAAACGUUUUCUGCACAAGUGCCAUGUUUUUGCCAUUCAUGUGACCAAAAUGCUGAGCCAGUACCACUUGGGCAUGCUAGAGUUGGCCAAUUUUGUUGCAUUCUGCUAAUUAAAUCAGAAACCUGCAUAAUAAAUUUAAUUGGACUCAAUAUUUUUAACACG
rnacentral:lncRNA from 1 species